rnacentral:rRNA from 1 species
AAACUUUACAAUGCUGGAAACAGCGAUAAGGGAACCUCGAGUGCCAGGUUACAAAUCUGGCUGUCGUGAUGCCUAAAAAGCAUUGCAUAGCAAGGGCCGGGCAAGACCGGUGCCAGCCGCCGCGGUAACACCGGCGGCUCGAGUGGUAACCGUUAUUAUUGGGUCUAAAGGGUCUGUAGCCGGCCGGAUAAGUCUCUUGGGAAAUCUGGCAGCUUAACUGUCAGGCUUUCAGGAGAUACUGUCUGGCUCGAGGCCGGGAGAGGUGAGAGGUA